UCUCUUGAUAGCUGCCCUGCUUCCAUCCGGAAGAAUGGCUUUGUAGACGUCUCCAAAACCGCCUUUCCCGAUCAACCACUGGGGGUCGAAGUUGUUUGUAGCUCUCCGAAUGUCUGCGAAUGCAAUCUUCAAGCCUAAGUUUAGGUUGCGUAGUGGCGAGUUAUGGACCGGAUCGAAAGGUCUAUUGGUGCGUAAUGGCGAAUUAUAGACCGGAUCGAAUAGUCUAUUGUCGGAGCUCCCACCUCUGUACAGUUCCACAGGAGACCAUAUAGUGGCCUCCUCCUCUGGCUUCUUCUUCUUCUUCGAUCUCCUCCGUUUCAAGAAAAAAAUGGUAAACAACAAACUCAAAACCAGGAUAGAAACAGCAGCAACACAACCAAUAAUGAUGUGAACCAGGGAACUACUUUUAUGAUGACGCUGUGGACGGCGAGCUUAAGGUCGCGGAGGUUGAGAGGUGCAUUGAGGCUGUCACGGAAGGACCCGCCGCGGAGGAUAUGAGGAGGAGAGCGACAGAGCUGAAGAAUGCAGCGAGAUCGGCGUUGGAGCCUGGUGGUUCGUCGGCUCGGAAUGUGGACUUGUUCAUCGCCCAUAUCACAACCACCUGACUAUGCUUCUGCUUUGAUUUACUCUUUUUUAAACCGGCGAUAACCGGUUUUUUGUUUCAGCAUUUGAACCCAAUGUUCAUUAAAAUGAGUAAUUGAAUUUUAAUAAAAGUAUUAUAUUUUUUAAGUUUUUCCAAUUAGUUUGUCUCAAACAAAAUUCAGCUCAUGAUUUUACAAAAGUUGAACCAAGCGGUUACUAAAAUAAGUAACUGGAAUAUUAAAAUAUAUUAUGAAGUUUUUCCAAUAAUAAAAGAAGUUGGAGAAGGUGACUUUAAUCAAAUGGUCUAAUGUUCACUUUUGCGAACUUCUUCAUCCAGUUCGAUUCGACAAAACAAGUUUUCUACAUUGUAAGAUCGACCUUUAUCAAUCUAAUUGGUGAAAAAAAAUAGUGACAAUAGCUAAUUCUGUUAAACAGUUCAUAUUAUUUUUGUUAAAUAGAGUUCAUGAAAUAUAAUAACUAAAAUCAUUACAUUUGUGAAAGAAAAAAAAGACUCCAAUCAUUACACAAAAAAAGUUUUGAAAAAUAUUUCAUUACUUUUUAAAUCUAUUAGUAUAAUUUUUUAUCAACUUUUAAAUCUAUAAAAUUCCAAACGGACCAAUUGGAUAUGAUGAUUUCCAUACCGGUUAACCAGUAUGGACACGGUAAGUUUGGGAAACCCGGUUAACGCAAAGCCUUUUUUUAUCUUGCUUCAGAGAUCUUCAACUGGGAGAAAACCCGAGUCUCGGAUGAAUCUCCAUCGCUGCUCUUCUUCUGAACAAACGAGUUGUCGCUAAACGAAUCACUCACCAUCAACCUCGGAACCACCAACGAGUUUCCACCUCCAACGCCAGAGAUCGUCAUGGUGCUAUCCUCGUGAGGCUCUCUCUGAACCGGCGUCAUGUGAAGCUGCAGAACAUACUCAAGAUCCCAGAUCACGUCCCCCAUGCUCGGCCUCUCUUCGCCGCAGUCCCUUAAACACUUCUCAACAAUCUCCAUGAACUUCCUCAAAGAACUCGCCUCGAUUUGACCAAUCAGUUUCGUAUCUAAAACCUCGUCGACUAUCCCUUUCGAUAAGCAGAACAACGCCCAUUCCGCGAGGUUCACUUCCUCGUGCGGAAGAUCGUGCGCGAGAGCAGGUCUCGCGCACAGAACCUCGAGGAGUACGACUCCGAACGCGUACACAUCCGAUUUCUCCGUGAAGAUGUGCGUCUGCAGAUACUCCGGGUCGAGGUAACCGAACGUCCCUUUGAUGUUCAUGCUGAUAUUGACCGGAUCUUGUUCGCGGACCGCGAGUUUCGAGAGCCCGAAAUCCGCAACUUUGGCCACGUUGUUCUCGUCUAGUAGUAUGUUUGUUGAUUUGACGUCUCUGUGGAUGAUUCCUUCCGAGCCGCUGUGGAGAUAAUGCAAUCCUCUGGCUGCUCCAAUGCAUAUCUCUAGCCUCUGUUUCCACGUCAACGAAGGCAUAUCCGAGCCGUAGAGAUGCUCUUUAAGCGUACCUUUCUCCAUAUACUCGUAGACAAGGAUCAUCUCCGCGUUUUCGUCGCAGUAGCCUUUUAAAGAAACGAGGUGUUUGUGCCGGAUUCUUGACAAGACUUGGAUCUCCGUUUGAAACUCUUGUAUCCCUUGUCCUGAACCGGUCUUUGCUCUCUUGAUAGCUGCCCUGCUUCCAUCCGGAAGAAUGGCUUUGUAGACGUCUCCAAAACCGCCUUUCCCGAUCAACCACUGGGGGUCGAAGUUGUUUGUAGCUCUCCGAAUGUCUGCGAAUGCAAUCUUCAAGCCUAAGUUUAGGUUGCGUAGUGGCGAGUUAUGGACCGGAUCGAAAGGUCUAUUGGUGCGUAAUGGCGAAUUAUAGACCGGAUCGAAUAGUCUAUUGUCGGAGCUCCCACCUCUGUACAGUUCCACAGGAGACCAUAUAGUGGCCUCCUCCUCUGGCUUCUUCUUCUUCUUC
rnacentral:lncRNA from 1 species